rnacentral:rRNA from 1 species
AACGAACGCUGGCGGCAUGCCUAACACAUGCAAGUCGAACGAAACCUUCGGGUCUUGUUGCGCACGUGUGCUUAACGCGUGGGAACCUGCCCUUAAGUUCGGAAUACCUCCCUGAAGGGGGUGCUCAUACCGCAUAAUCUCUUCGCACAAAAGAUGUAUCGCCUUGGGAUGGGCCCGAGUUGGAUUAGGUGGUUGGUAGGGUACAAGCAUGCCAUGGCGUCGUUCCUUAGCUGGUGGGAGAGGAGGAUCAGACCCACUGGGACACAGACACGGCCCAGACGCGUAGGGGAGGUAGCAGUGGGGAAUAAAGGACAAGGGGCGAGAGCCUGAAACAGCAAGGCCGGGUGAGUGAUGAAGGGGUUAGGGUUGUAAAGCUCUUUUAACCGGGAGGAUAAUGACAGUACCGGGAGAAUAAGCCCCGGCUAACUCCGU